GCAGUAGGGGGCGGGAUGGCGCUCUGUCUGCCCACCCUGCUGAAUGAUCAACAAGGAAGCAGCAGAGAGCGAUCACUGUUAGUGUUGAAUCAGAUCGUAACUCCAUGUCUGUUAGUGUCUGUUCUGCAGUGAUGUCGGGCUCAGUGUAAGGAACCACACACUUAAGAGGAGGAACAAUGGCAGACGAAGCUCCUUUCCAGUUUCUACAUAACGAAGUGAUUCAGUACAUCUACAAGUCAGCUGACAGCGGGGACACGGAACAUGGCAGGAACAUCUCCACCCUGGAGAGCAUGGGCUUCAGAGUGGGCCAGGGGCUGAUAGAGAGACUAACCAAAGACACGGCAAGGUUCAAAGACGAGCUGGACAUCAUGAAGUUCGUCUGUAAGGACUUCUGGACAUGUGUGUUCAAGAAGCAAAUUGACAACCUCCGAACCAAUCACCAGGGCAUCUAUGUUCUCCAGGACAACAAGUUCCGAUUGCUGAGUCAGCUGUCGGCUGGGAAACAGUAUCUGGAACAGGCCCCCAAGGUGCGUUACACGGCUGUACACGCAGGGAUCAGAACUGGUGUCGGUGGGCCAGUUGUAACAGUAUCUGCAGGUAUCUGGCCUUCAGCUGUGGACUGGUGAGAGGAGCGCUGUCCAACCUUGGAGUGAAGAGCAUCGUGACUGCUGAGGUGUCCAUCAUGCCUGCAUGUAAAUUCCAAAUCAUGAUCCAGAAAAUGUAGCUUCUACAUGAUGCCACACUCACUCUUCUUCCUUCAUAUGUUUCCCUGAGAAUCUGUCAUGAAAAGGGAAAUGCUACCCAUCAUCAUCAUCCAUUAUAUUCUGCUCUGCUUUAGCUAACAGUUACAAAGUGUUUAUGUAGACGUCCCAGUCUUAAAAGGAUAGUGUUUCUGCUGACACUCAGUCAUUCAUUUAAGGGAACAUCUGCCAUGACGGUUAUUUGUGUUUUUAUAGCAAUGCUACUUUAUUUAGAUAAUGGUGGUGGGAGUGCUUUGGCGCCCUCUGGUGGCACAAAGAUGAAAGCACAAUAUUUGUUUGAUUUGAUGCAAAGUAAACUGUUAAAUAUUUUUAAAAUAUCAAUAAGUCUCUCGGACAUUAUCAUGCAUGUAGUACAUUAUCAUGCCUUUAGUUAGUUCUAAAGUUAACUUAUUCAAAGCCAAACAAGAACCCAACAAUAUGUAGACAAAGAUUAUAUAAAAUGCGAAAAAGGGGCCAAACUGAGCGGACAACACAAGUGUAUGUCUUUACAGUUCAAUGUUUUACAAAACAAGUGUCCCGGUGAAGGCUCACAGACAGACAGGGUUCAUUUAGAGAAUUCUAUCCAUUACAUGAUGAAACCGAUGAGUAAAGGAAUGAAUAAAGACCUUCGUCUUUGAUUACAGUGUUCCUCAGAGGAAAGACACUUGUGCAAAGUUGUUUUCUUUAUAAGGUUGAUUGAUUUCGGGUUGAAUCAGAUGCAAUGAAUUCUAAGGUGAUGUUUCACUGUCUAUAUCCCAGCAUACAUCACUCUUUUCUAGAUCAAAAUAAUUAGAAAUGUUUUCCUGACUGAAAAUUCACAUGUUUGCCCUUUUAAGUCAAAACUUCAACUCAAAUAUAGCAAACGAUGUGAGUGAUAAACACAUAACUACUUUGAGCUCAUGGACAAGCAGAAAAAAAAGACUUCCCUACUCGUGAAAUGGGACCAUCCGAGCAGCACCUGAAUGCACCGUGGUCCCCCCGCUCCAGCAAUAAACAAUAAAUAUAAAUGAUGAAUAAAUAAAUGAUCCAUGAAGACACUCA